rnacentral:lncRNA from 1 species
GACCUAGACGCAGGACACAGAGCUGGUUUUGUAUCCGUAACACAUGUUCUUCAGUACUGCCAAGAGAUUGGUGUACCGUACGUCACACUCUACGCCUUUGGCCACGAUAAUUUCAGGAGAGAACCUGAAGAAGUCAAGUGUAUGAUGGAUCUGAUGCUUGAGAAAAUCGAGCUCACAAUCGAUCAAGCUAUCUCCGGGAAUCUAAACAAUUUGAAAGUGAUCUUUAUUGGUGAUUUGAAUAUGUUAAACGAGCGUCUUAAAGCCGCAGCGCAGAGACUGAUGGAAGUUACCGAGGAGAAUAGAGGUUUAAUGGUUGUGGUUUGCGUUGCUUACAGCACAAGUCACGAGAUUGUUCACGCUAUUAGAGAAUCUUGUGUAAAGAAGUGUGGUGAUGGAGAUAGUCAGGUUUUGGAGGUGAGUGACAUUGAAGAGUGUAUGUAUACAUCAAUUGUUCCUGAUCCUGCUCUUGUAAUAAGAACAGGAGGACGAGAUCGGCUGAGUAACUUCAUGACUUGGCAGACUUCAAAGUCUCUCCUUCAUACCACGGUGGCUCUUUGGCCGGAGUUAGGUCUUUGGCAUUUGGUUUGGGCUAUUCUUAAAUUCCAGAGGAUGCAAAAUUACUUGCAGAAGAAGCAAAAACUCGACUAAAUAGGUUUAACUUAAAUACUAGCAUGGUCGGACAGAUUUAUGAGGACAUAAAACAUAGUAAUAAUUAAUUUACUUACAAAGUAGAGAACCUAUGUAUUAGUUUUUAAAAUUUUGGGAGCCAGCACGAAUGUCUCAUUAUGCUUUGUCCAAAACCGGUCCCAUGAACUCUUAACACUUAUGUCGGAGUUGCAUGUUUUUUGUGGCACAAGAAAUGAUAGAUAGGAACGAGAAAACAGAAGAAAUCAUCCUUAUUAUGCAUUGGAUCCAAACAAAAACCUAAAGACAGAUGAUCGCGAUUCAACGAUGCUAAAACACUAAAAUUUAAACAUAUUUCGAUAAAUAAAAACAAAUAAACAUUUGAAAAUUUUAGAACCUAGCCACACCUUGACCAGGUUUGCCUUGGAACCUGCAGACAUUACAGAGAGGUAAGAACAGAGAAAGAAUCUGAUAAUUGUCUUCUCCACCCAUAGUGGGCAUCAGGACUCCAAUCUUAACCAGACUAACGUAUCCAGGCAGAUAGGUUUUCCCAAAACUCCCUCCAGGAGAUCACUCAGGUUAAAGAACUUAAACUGAGUCUCAAGAUGAGCAAAAACAUCAUUUUUUUUGUUUCGAAUACCAUGAAGUUUGGGGCCGAAGCCCACAAUUUCCGCCAAACCCAAUAUCACAACAUGUAGUAUUAGUUUCGUCCCAUCGGGGUCACUCAAACUGGGAGACCUCUGACACAAUCGACAUAAUAUUUUCUAAUUGAGCUAAUCACCUUUCUAGAUAAGCAAAUUAAUGACCUUUCCAGAUGAGCAAAAACAUCAUCUUCAGGCAACUGAUAGUUACGAACUCUGUCUUCUUCUUUCCCUAUUGGUCUAUAACAUAUCCAUCUGAAAAUACCAGAUACGCGACUCUCACGUUAUUCCUCUCAUCUGUUCUCUCAACAACAAUUUCUCUUUCUUCAAGAUUGAUUCUCCCUUCUGCUUCACCUCCUGUUGGGACGUUCCAUCUCACAACCAGAGAGUGGAGAAUCAAUUUGGUGAGAAUUCCAAAAUUAAACGUGCUUAAAUUAGAGUAAGAAUCAUGAUAUAUUAGAAAAUGAUUCUUAUACGGUGGGAGGGAAGCCAGAGUACAUAAAAAGAUUAUGAGGUAACCGUAAGAAUAAUAAAUAAGUCUUUGGCAUUCCAAAAGUUAAUACAUGGAUCAUCAUACAGGAGAGAGUUACAUGAUGUUUACAUGAUGGGUUACUUUGUCAUUGACCUUUAACACAUUUAGGUACUUUACACUUGAGGGCGCUGUUUGUUUCUCCAUUCAAAUGAUCCAUUCAAAUGGAAAUGAGCUUCUUGUUUGUUUAUACACAAAAAGUACAACUCAUUCAAAUAGCUCAUUUGAAUGAUUUUCGAAAAAUUAGGUUUAAUUUCAAAAACCAGUUGACUGAACCGAAUUGGAUCAUUUGGCUGGAAUUGGUUCAGUCAAAAUAUCAAAAUGUCAAUUUUGCCCCUCGCCAAAUCCUAAAAUUACAAACCUAAAAUCUAAAGCGUGAAAGAUCUCUCUCUCGUAUCUCUCUUUGCAGUCUGCGAAGAUCACCAUGAAAUCACCAUAGCUUGAGCUCUCUCUCUCUCCGCCGCGUCUCCUCUCCGUCUCUCUCUCCGCCGCGUCUCCUCUCUGUCUCUCUCUCUCCGCCGCGUCUCCUCUCCGUCUCUCUCUCUCCGCCGCGUCUCCUCUCCGUCUCUCUCUCUCUCUCUCCGCCGCGUCUCCUCUCCUUCUCUCUCUCUCCGCCGCGUCUCCUCUCCAUCUCUCUCUCUCUAAGUAUAUCUCUCCGCCUCUCUCUCUCAAGUAUAUCUCUCGCAUACUAUUAAUGGGUUUGCUUGGUUCACUACAAGAAAACAGGGGGAUUCUUGCUAGUUCACUGAUGUUGUUCAUUGAUGGGUUUUAUUGUGAAUCUCAUAGCUUGUGCUUAAGCAAGAGAUCUCGUGAUGGGUUUGAUUCUGAAUCUCAUAGCUUGCUAGUUCACUGAUGUUGUUCCUUUAUUUCCAUUUUUGAAGGGCUUUUUACUAAGUUUUUUGAAGGAACUAUAUGAACUAGUAGAAUCUCAUAGCUUGUGAAUUAUGAAUGAUGGGUUUGAGUCAUAGCUUGUGAAGGAACUAUCUGAAGAAUUAUGAAUGAUGGGUUUGAGUCAUAGUUUGUAAAGGAACUAUCUGAACUAGUAGAAUCUGAUAGCUUGUGAAUUAUGAAUGAUGGGUUUGAGUCAUGAGAUUACUUAAGAUGUUAGCUUUAAGUCUCAUGUGGGUUUUAGUAUGUUUCAGUGACAACCAUUGCUCACUGUCUCCCUAGAGAGUUUAUGGGAUCUUUUACUACGUUUUUUUAUCUUCUUGUUUGUGGUUUCAUAUCUCUGAAAAUGUAUUUCCAUCUCAUUCUUGAUGCUUGUAAUAUCUGCAGGUGAUCUUGUCUCAUAUUCAGUGACCUGUUUCCAAUUUCAAUGACAUCUGUUCCUGGCACCGAUGUAAGUUUAUUUUUACUCUUAGUUUUGUGUAGCAUAGGUUCAUAACUGCUUUGUGGUUCCAGACUUUAAAAGUUCUAUUUUCAAAAUAAAGUCUCUCGCAUGGACUGAUGAACAAACCCGGUUCUAUCUCCAACUGAGAAUUGAGGAGAAGCUGAAAGGAAAUGAUAGAAAACAAAAUGUGAAUGAAGCUGGGAGACAGUCCAUCAUCGAAAAAUUCUUUGAUGCUUAUGGAGAAAGGCACCCUUGGAGAAAGUUUGGGAUCAAGCACACCACUUGCAAGACUCAGUAUACUAAAUACAAGCGGUUGAUUAACAAGAGAACUGGCCUUGGCUUUGAUGCAUAUGGGUUCAUAGAAAUGUCAGAUGACUGGUGGAAUGAACUUUUUAAGGUAUAAUCAGUUACUUUGUUCUAUCUGUAUACAAUUUGUUUGUGUGUAUACAAUUUUCUGAACUCUUGUAUUGGUUUUUCAGGAAUGGCCAGCAGCAAGAAAGCUUAAAGAGAAGCCAAUAGCAAAUAUUGACUUGUUGGAAAAAGUGUUUGGAUUAGUUCACAUUAGUGGAGCUGAAGGAUGGGCUGCUCAACAAGGUGAAGACCAUUUGGAUCAGCAAAGCGUAGACCAUCAGGAUCAUGAUGAUGGUGAUGCUGAAGAGACAGAUGCGACAAAUAUGCAAAUUCCUCCUACUCAGGAUGCUCCAGCUGAAUCAAGAACUGUUGGCCCUUCAUCUUCUAGUAGAUCAAAAGGUAGCAGGAAAAGAUCAAGGGCCGCGCAAGUAGGACAGGCUGUAGCAGAUGUUCUUUCUGACAAGAACAAGAUGAUAAGGAGCCACCCUGAGUUCAGUUGCAACCAGCUUACAGCUAUGGAAGCCUUACACUCGCUGUCUGCUAUCAGGCAUUGGUCUCCUUUGUACAAAGCAGCUAUCAACCAUCUCAAGCAGGACCCAACCAAUCGUCAGACCUUCUUGUUCUUUAAAGAUGAUGAGAACAAGGUUCUCUACUUGGAGUUUGCUACUGGUGAAAGCAGAGAUGCUUGAAGACUAUCCUACUUGGAGUUUAUGUCUUCUAGUUCUAUAUUAUCCUACUUGGAGUUUAUGUCUUUUAGUUUUAUGAGAACCAUCUUUUGUUUUGUGAGAAUCAUCUUUUGUUUUAUGAGAAUCAUCUUUUGUUUUAUUUGGUGUAGUGGUUCUGACACUUCAGGUUUGGUACUGGUUCUGAUUUUUUAGGUUUGGUGAAGUAGAGGAUACUGUUUGGUGAAGUAGAAGCUUGCUGUGAUUGUUUGGUGUCUGUUUGGUGAAGUAGAAGCUUGCUGUGAUGGACAAUAAUGUAAGCUUGCUGUGUCUUUUAUUUAGUUUUUACGUAGGUUGAUCAGUAGUUUCACUGUUGUGAUCACUGAUUUUCAUUAAGUUGACAAUGUUGCAAAUCGAGUCAGAGCCUACGUUAUAUACGGUGAAGAGCGACUAGUAGUCAGGAUCUAACUAAAGAUCAAUUGUAAUUUUGCAGGAAAUAUUAAGACUUCUCGUUGAAGAUGAUGAGCUGGAUUUGUUGUUUGAUGAGAAUCAGCACAUGUAUACUCUUGUAGAGGAAAUGUUUGGAGUGCCAGAAGCUGAUACUAAUAGGCAAUCAGUCAGGACAAACCGAGGUGAAGGUUGGCGACGUGUGCAGCGUUUCAUGAACGGGUCCGAGGUACAAUGCUAUGAGAUUAUGCGCAUGAACCAGGAAACAUUUAAGAGUUUGUGUAAGAUGCUAUCAGAAAAGUAUGGGUUAAAGGAGACUCUUAAUGUCUACGUUGAGGAGAGUGUUUCAAUGUUCUUAGAGACGGUUGGACAAGACGUAACUGUACGGGAUAUAUCAGAGCGUUAUCAGCAUUCAACUAACACUAUGUAAAGGAAGCUAGAAGAGGUAUUAAGUUCUCUCUUGAAGCUUGGUGUUUGUUCAAAUCCUAUAGUUCUUAUUAAUAUGAACAGAAUACCAACGUUAUUAUGGGAUUUGAUAAAGAGUGGCCUUGUUCUUAUUAAUAUGGUGUUUGUUGUUGUAGGCGCCUUGUUCUAGAAUUGCAUUUUAACGUUGGUAUUAUGUUCUGUUACAGGUAUUAAGUUCUCUCUUGAAGCUUGCAUCAGACAUUGUGAAACCGACUAGGAAUGAGUUUGCAACUGCUAGUCCUUUUCUAGAAGGUAAACCACAGUAUUGGCCUUACUUUAAGAACUGCAUAGGUGCUUUAGAUGGAACUCAUAUUGCUGUCCGUCCACCAUCUGGGAAUAGUGAGCCAUUUAGAGGUAGAAAAGGUGAACCAACCAUGAAUGUGCUGGCUAUUUGUAAUUUUGACAUGAGGUUCAUCUACGCUUAUGUUGGAGUUCCCGGGAGAGCACAUGACACGAAGGUGCUAACAUACUGUGCUACUGAAGAAGCUUCUUUUCCUCACCCACCAGCUGGAAAAUACUACUUGGUCGACUCAGGUUACCCAACCAGAACUGGUUACUUAGGUCCUCAUCGCAAGACUAGAUACCAUAUAGAUCAGUUCAACAGAGGAGGUCCACCAUCAAACACUAGGGAAUUGUUCAACCGCAAGCACUCCGGUUUAAGAUCAAUGAUUGAGAGGACUUUUGGUGUUUGGAAAGCCAAGUGGAGAGUUUUAGACAGAAAGCAUCCCAAGUAUGAGUUGAAGAAAUGGAUAAAGAUUGUGACAGCAACCAUGGCCCUCCACAACUUUAUUCGAGAUUCACAACAUGGAGAUACUGAUUUUUCUUAUUGGGAAGGAGUGGAAUCAUAUGAACAGCAUGGUGAUGAUCAAGAAGAGCAUGUUGGAUACAUUCCGCAGGGUGAUAGACUGAUGGAGAGUGUGCGUCACUGUAUUACUAUGGAGAUGGCAAGAGGAACUAGACUUCCAUACUAGACAUUUUUUAAAUUUCAGUUUUAUAAACAUUAUUGUUGGCAUUUGAAUAUCUACUUUAUUUGAAUAUCUACUUUGAACUGUUUGAAAGUUUAUUAAAAUUUGAAUAUCUACUUAGAGUUGUUUGAAAGUUUAUUAAAAAAUUAUUAAAAUUUGAGUCUAUUUUAUAAAUAAAGUUAUAUGAAAUUUAUAUGAAAUAAAAAUUUAUAAAUGUCAAAAUGCUAAUUUUAAAAUAAUUUCAGUGUAAAUAUAUUUUAGAAUGAAUAAUAAAAUUUUCUGUAGUUAAAAUUGAUAUCAAAUAUAUGAUUAAAUCAAAACAUGGAUAUAUAUGUAAUUUGGUUAUUAAACUCAUUUGAAUGAUUCAUCUAAAUGGAGAAACAAACAUAAAAUUCAUUCAAAUGGUUCAUUCAAAUGACUCAUCCAAAUGGAGAAACAAACAUGACCAAAAAUUUGAAUGGAUCAUUUAGAUGGAGCACAUAAAUGGAUCAGCUGGAUGAAUUCAUCUAAAUGAAGAAACAAACAGGGCCGAGGUGUACUAUUUGACUUACUUUUGGUUUUUCUCUUCUAUAAAUACCCUUCUAGUGAACAAAUUUGUACUAAAUAUCAUGUUUACUUUUCAACCAAAUCUCACAUAGUCCGGUCAAGUUUAAAGUAUAAAAGUGACCAUACUUACAUUACUCCUCCGCUUGCAAUAAAUUGUUAGAUUUAUUUUAAAACGAAUCGGACAGCUGGCAUUACAUCAAGUACAAACCUACUAAAAGUGAUAACUUAGAUGAAGUAAUUGCUGGCCUUUUUUCUUGUUGUGGAAGAAUACAAUAUAUGUUCAGUGAAGGUGUGGUAAGGAUUCGAAACCUAGAUUCAACAGAAACUGGUAUCUCUAAGUAAUUUUGCUAUUGGUCUCUGCCAAUUCCUUGUUCGGUGUGCAGGUCCGCGUGGUCAAGAGAUGGAAAGUGUGGUUGGGCGAGUUGUGGUCAGCGGACAUGUGUGCAGGGGAGGCCUGGCCAGGAGAGUUGUGUUGUGGAGAAGUGUGGUUGGGUGAAGUGUGGGUGGGUGAAUCGUGGUCGGGUGAAAAAUGUAUCGGGUAUGCGGAGGUCUGACACACUGGGUUGUAUGCAGUGAUCGGAUCGCUGGUGAUGAUUUCGUCUGGGUGGUCAGGGUGGUAGAAGCACUUAGGGCACCCUUAUCGAUGGUAGCUAAGAAGGUAUUUAAAAUUAAAAAGAAAGAAGAGAGAAGAAGAAAAUGGUAUCGCAGGCGAAGCUCAACAAAAAAGUAGGAGAUACUCUUUUCAUACGUUUGCUAAUUAUUUUACAACUAAUAAUAUUAAAACAACUAGAUACUCUUUCACAAGAUAUAUUACCCAUUGGUCCAUGCUCUUACAUUAUGUUUUUCAGUAAUAAAAAUUCUACUUACUGAAUUAAGUUAUACUCCCUCUGUUUAAUUAUAUUUCCUUAAUCCGUGUGCCGAAACCUAAAACGACAAUUAUAAUUAAAAAAAUACUAUUACUUAUACACCUAACCAUAUUUCAACCAAUAGAAAAAUAAAUUUUGCAUAAAAUUAAUAAAUUUUGCUUUGAAAAUCGAAAACGACACUUAUUUUGUAACAAAUUUUUUUUCUAAAACGACACUCAAUAUGAAACGGAGGGAGUAUUGUUUUAAGCGGAGACAUUACAUAUUUGUUAAACUAAGAAGAGUCAUUGAUCAGCCAUUUUCUCCCGUUCCAAGAAAUCAGCCAUAUCAUAUGCUCAUUCCAUUUACAUUCCCUCCCAAAAACAAACUACAAAUCUCUUGUUUAUAUUUCACUCACAGCAACUAUAUAAAAAAAAAAUCCUAAGUGUUCUCCAAUUCUCCAUUCCCAUAGCCAUAUAAGCCUAGUUUCCGAGAUGAGAGAACACGUAGGUAAAUCCUCUAAACUCUUCAAUGGUUUCACGAGUAUAAUGAGAAGAUUCAUAUUCAAAGUUCUAUGCGUCGGUCCAAUCCCUAACCACAUCUCAUUCAUCAUGGAUGGUAACCGCAGAUUCGCCAAGAAACACAAUCUUCAAGGCCUAGACGCAGGACACAGAGCCGGUUUCGUAUCCGUAACCUAUGUUCUUCAGUACUGCCAAGAGAUUGGUGUGCCGUACGUCACACUCUACGCCUUUGGUAUCGAUAAUUUCAAGAGAGAACCUGAAGAAGUCAAGUGUAUGAUGGAUCUGAUGCUUGAGAAAAUCGAGCUCACAAUCGAUCAAGCUAUCUCCGGGAAUCUAAAGGAUUUGAAAGUGAUCUUUGCUGGUGAUUUGAAUUUGCUAAACGAG